AGGAACCGCAGAAAGAGGGGGAAGGAAGUCAAGUUUUUAAAUGUCAAAACGAUUGUGAAAUCAGUGAAAUGUCUAUAUCUGAAAAGUAUAAAUAAAAUUUUAUAUAUAUAUAUUUUUUUGUGUCUGUGUGUGUGUGUGUGUGUGUGUGGUUGAGGGGAAAAGUGGGAGUUGCAACUUUAUUUACACCUCUGUAUGAUCUCAAAUGGCAACGCUUUCCAACAGAAUCAGAUUGCACCUUUAUCUGGGAGACACCCAGCAGUCCUC